CGGAAAGACAGUGGAAAACUAUGAAGAACCAAAGCUGCACAGAUCGAAACAAUGAAGUAAAUGACCGGUUUCAUCCUCCAUACUCCGUAGCUGAUUACCCAAAGUUAUGCAAAAACCGACGCAGAGAAACAUCCGAGACAAGUUUUCCAAAGCCAUGAAAAGAAUGAUGAAAGGAGAGAGUAAAGAUAUAAGGUACAAAGUAAAUACAUGUGUUUCAAAUUAAUAUAACACCAUACUGCUGCUCCUGUUGUUGUUCUUUUAAUAAGCGAAUUUAAAGGGUAUACGAAAUGCCAAACGAAUAUACAAUAAUAAACCUUUGUUUUAUCAAAAGUAAAUCAUGACACCGCAUACAACAUAAAAAGGUGUAACAAUUUAUCUAGUGUAAUUUAAAAUAAAUGAACUAAUAAAAUAAAGUAACAAACUGACUCCAUUUUUUUUUCUCCACAUCAUGCUCAAGUUUUCAGACUGCCAUUCACACUUCCCAAAAAGGACUGAUUAUGGAAUGGAUCUUUUGUAUUGCAAACAUGAUACUUGACUCUGAACUGCUGCUAAUCAUUAUUCUUUUGUCUAUAAUAUUCGGACAAUUGGGGCCCGUCUCACUCAGAUGACCUACACUUCUUCAUUUCAUUGUUGUUUUGUUUAGGGGAUAGGUGCAAGCUUCGUGAAAUGUUUACAUUAAUCUACACCCCACCUCCAGCAGUGCGGGGGCAUUAACAGUAUACAGUAGCUCAGCCCUUUCGAACUAGCCUGGUAAUACCAAACUCUGCUACUUAUGUAGUCAGGCUACUUUCAAACUUCUUUUUGCCCUGAAGUAUUCACCUUAUUCCACCACGCCCACAUUCAAUACUUUGCAUUUCCUCAUUUUGCCAUCCAACUUCUGCUAAACUGAUAUGGCACAUCCGGUAACUAGUUCAGUAGUUGUAAGAUUGUUUAUAGCUAACUAUUUAACUUUUCAUUGAUUCAAAUUUAGCGCCCUCAUCCAUUGCCUCAGAUGCUUCUCUUCUUUAGGUUGUGGGUGUAAAUUGUCAAGUGCACCACAACACAAGACACUGAUUGCUUCACAUUGUGUUUGUUACAUAUUUGGUGCAAUUGUUUUUUAUUACAAUUGUUAUGUAGCCCCUAACUGAGCAUAUAAUACUUGAUAUAUUUGCGUUCUGUUAUCUAGCCACUAGCUUAGGUACGUCAGGUCCCUCAGCCAGUAGGAAGAUGACAAAACGAACGCAAUGGCAGCACCAUUGUUGCAAUGGAAAAUAAAGUGAACCACCAAGCAUGAUAGCAUGUUCUAGUACACCCCAAAAACAAAAUCAAGACUUUGUAAAAGAGCAUUAUAUUGAAGUAAAUUGAAAUUAAAAUGUCACAUAAUUUGAAAAUAGUGGCUCAAUAAACAUGAAACGCUCAAACAACACAAAUUAAUUCACCACAGAAAAAUGAUAGAUAAAUAGUUUUUAAUGUGUUUUUAUAUGUGCCAGGAAGCAAGAGUUCUUAGAAAACUGUUGGAAAAUGGUCCACAUUAACAAAGAUACCAAGUGAGUAAGUGGAUUUAGCUGUUAUUGACAAAAGUCAUUAAAUUACAUUUGCAAAUUUUUUUUCUACAGCAAUCUGACAUUUUCUGUGACACUUAUUAAUUCUUUAAUGUUUGAAAUUCUUAACUCUGGUGUCUGUUUAUUGUCAUAACAUUUGCAAAAUGUAUUGCAACAUUUUUAAUGGAAAUAUAUUGGCAUCAGCGUUUAAAACAAGACAUUUUACAAUAUAAUUAAAAUAAAAUUGCACGGGUAAAAGAAUCAUUAGAACAGAAUUAUUU